GUGCCAGCCGCCGCGUAAUUCCAGCUCCAAUAGCGUAUAUUAAAGUUGUUGUGGUUAAAAAGCUCGUAGUUGAACCUUGGGCCUGGCUGGCCGGUCCGCCUCACCGCGUGCACUGGUCCGGCCGGGCCUUUCCCUCUGUGGAACCCCAUACCCUUCACUGGGCGUGGCGGGGAAACAGGACAUUUACUUUGAAAAAAUUAGAGUGCUCCAGGCAGGCCUAUGCUCGAAUACAUUAGCAUGGAAUAAUAAAAUAGGACGCGCGGUUCUAUUUUGUUGGUUUAUAGGACCGCCGUAAUGAUUAAUAGGGACAGUCGGGGGCAUCAGUAUUCAACUGUCAGAGGUGAAAUUCUUGGAUCAGUUGAAGACUAACUACUGCGAAAGCAUUUGCCAAGGAUGUUUUCAUUAAUCAGGAACGAAAGUUAGGGGAUCGAAGACGAUCAGAUACCGUCGUAGUCUUAACCAUAAACUAUGCCGACUAGGGAUCGGACGGUGUUAUUCAUGACCCGUUCGGCACCUUACGAGAAAUCAAAGUGCUUGGGCUCCAGGGGGAGUAUGGUCGCAAGGCUGAAACUUAAAGAAAUUGACGGAAGGGCACCACCAGGGGUGGAGCCUGCGGCUUAAUUUGACUCAACACGGGGAAACUCACCAGGUCCAGACACAAUAAGGAUUGACAGAUUGAGAGCUCUUUCUUGAUUUUGUGGGUGGUGGUGCAUGGGCCGUUCUUAGUUGGUGGGGUGACUUGUCUGCUUAAUUGCGAUAACGAACGAGACCUUAACCUGCUUAA
rnacentral:rRNA from 1 species